GCUCUGGGAGUGUUUAUAGCCCUGUGAGUUUCAGACUGUGGGACUGAGAUCUGUCCUUCAACACAACAGAAACCACGACAACCAUGACAAUGAUCACCAUCUUCAUCUGGACACUGGUCUGCUGCUGCCUCAAAGGAUCCAGAGGUCAGGUGACUGUGACUCAGCCUCCUGUAGUGACAUUUUCUCCAGGAGACCCUGUCACUCUGACCUGUACAACCAACACUAAAGUGUACAAAUGGAGCAAUGGAAAUGAGGGUGCGUACUGGUAUCAACAGAGACCUGGAGAAGCUCCCAAACUCCUGAUAAGAAACAUAAAGACACGGCUAGAUGGGAUUCCUGCUAGAUUCAGUGGCAGUGGGUCUGAGAGUGACUUCACUCUGACCAUCAGUGGAGUCCAGGCUGAAGAUGCAGCAGUUUACUACUGUAAGAGUUUCCACUAUCUCAACAGUAUAAAUAUGUUCACACAGUGAUUUAAAGCCGUACAAAAACCU